UCACAAGGAAAGCUGAGCAGGCAAUUGCUGCCCCGCCCACUCUGGGAAGAGGGGCGGGGCCGCCGGCUCCAGAGGGACCGAAGCGGCGGGGCCGCCGGAUCCAGGGACAAUGGGGUGGGGCGGGCUUUCCUUGGGUGGGCGCAGCGGCUUCCUGGGUCCCCCUCACGCUCUGGGUCAGAGUUCCUUUACAGACGGACCUGAGAGGCAACUCACCGACUCCUGCCCUGGACCCUCCUGCGCCACUGAACCCCCUGACCUGGGAGCCUCGGAACCUAGGGCUCAGGAGAUGAACCAGGACUUAUCCGAAGGUACCAAGUGAACUUCUAGGAAAAGUCCAAUUCUCAGAUGCUGGAUGUCUUCCAAAAAUGAAGCAAAUUAGUAACUUAGUAGCUGAGUCAACUAAUCCUGUUAGAUGGUCAACACUGAUUUUUUUAUUUUAAUAUUUUUAAGUGGCAACUCUAGUGUGUGAGAAAAUUAAUGUGACAGCUGAAUUUGUAGAAAGCUGCUUUGACUCUCUUGGGCCCCUUCAUAAGCCCUGGAACUAAAUAAAAGUCUAGUGAAUACAGCCCCGCCACCCUCAAGCCACACCCCAUUGAUCAUUUGCUGAAGAUUUUAGUACCUGGCUCUGGCCUGCUUUCCACAGUCAACACUCACAUCAAGGCACCUGGAUCUCUUCUCCACCGGCAAUCCUGCCUUCCGCCUUCAG